GACGAACGCUGGCGGCGUGCCUAACACAUGCAAGUCGAACGGAGAUACGAUUUCGGUUGUAUCUUAGUGGCGAACGGGUGAGUAACGCGUGAGCAACCUGACCUUUAGAGGGGGAUAACACUUGGAAACAGGUGCUAAUACCGCAUAAGACCACGACCCGACAUCGGGAUGAGGUCAAAGGAGUAAUCCGCUAGAGGAGGGGCUCGCGUCCCAUUAGAUAGAUGGCGGGGUAACGGCCCACCAUGUCGACGAUGGGUAGCCGAGCUGAGAGGCUGAUCGGCCACACUGGAACUGAGACACGGUCCAGACUCCUACGGGAGGCAGCAGUGGGGAAUAUUGGGCAAUGGGCGCAAGCCUGACCCAGCAACGCCGCGUGAGGGAAGAAGGGCCCUUCGGGUUGGAAACCUCUGUCCUUGGUGACGAAAAAAAUAGACGGUAGCCAAGGAGGAAGCCCCGGCUAACUACGUGCCAGCAGCCGCGGUAAU
rnacentral:rRNA from 1 species